GCCUUUAUGGCUAAGAGGUAAGGCGCAGCACUUGUAUUUCUAACUUAAUCGCAAUGCUGAGAUCAUGAGUUUAAAUCUCAUUAGAGGCA
rnacentral:tRNA from 1 species